GCGAUUGGUCAGACCAUAGAUAAUAUAGGAGACAGCGCGCUAGCGUAUCUAGUAUUAUAUGUGCCUAUGGUCGUCACGUCUGGUAGCGUCUCUGGCUGCUGUUGACCUUGUUUUUGGAGUAAAACACGGUGGAAGCUGAAUUAGUGAGGAUGACUCCUGCUCCUGUCAUCUCUAAGCUCCUCACACAUCUUUACCUGCACAUGAGGAAAAUCACUCCUGUAGAAUGCAGAUGUUCAGAGGGAGAUGAUGCCACAUCUGGUCCAGCUGAUGGAAGGUCUUGAAGUUCUCUGACUGGCCUCAACUGAAGAUGGUCGUCUCACUGGAUUUAAGGUUCAGAUGCUCAGUAACAAACUCCACCAAUGAGCCAACAGGGAAGCUUUAGGUUUAUUAAAUGUUACUAUGAAGGUUUCGCUGUUUUUCUUUGUGAAUGCAAUGUGCUCCAACUGAAACUUGAAUUAGAACUUAGAAGUAAAUCCUUCCAUCUGAAAGGAUUUAGUUGCAUUAAUAACCUCAUAACAUUCUAAUUUUUAUUCCAGUCUUGGUUGGAAAUAGAAUCUCUGUAUUGAUUCAGGUAAAAACUGAACUUCACAGCAUGUUGGAGCAAAACAACCAGAUGAAAACUGUGAUGGUGUUGGAUUGUCAGACCGUAAUGUUGCAGCUCAAAGCAGCUUUUCUAUCUCAGUUCAUUCUGACAUUCAGCUAUGAAUCAACACAGCAGAUGGUGAUCCAUGCUGUGGAAGUCUCACAUCUCCUGAUUUAAUGGAGCUGCUUUGCACUUUUUACACUCUUUAUUCACCAACACUUUAUUUAAUAAAAGUCCCAUCUAGUUUUUA